rnacentral:rRNA from 1 species
AGUGAACGCUGGCGGUAGGCCUAACACAUGCAAGUCGAACGGCAGCACAGUAAGAGCUUGCUCUUACAGGUGGCGAGUGGCGGACGGGUGAGGAAUACAUCGGAAUCUACUUUUUCGUGGGGGAUAACGUAGGGAAACUUACGCUAAUACCGCAUACGACCUACGGAUGAAAGCAGGGGAUCUUCGGACCUUGCGCGAUUGAAUGAGCCGAUGUCGGAUUAGCUAGUUGGCGGGGUAAAGGCCCACCAAGGCGACGAUCCGUAGCUGGUCUGAGUGGAUGAUCAGCCACACUGGAACUGAGACACGGUCCAGACUCCUACGGGAGGCAGCAGUGGGGAAUAUUGGACAAUGGGCGCAAGCCUGAUCCAGCCAUACCGCGUGAGUGAAGAAGGCCUUCGGGUUGUAAAGCCCUUUUGUUGGGAAAGAAAAGCAGCAGGUUAAUACCCCGCUGUUCUGACGGUACCCAAAGAAUAAGCACCGGCUAACUUCGUG